rnacentral:lncRNA from 12 species
CUCCUCUGGAUGGACAGAGGGAUGCGGGGCGCGGGCCCUGCGGCUCCAGGGCUGGCCGCCAGAGGGCACGCUCGGGGCGGGGAAGCGCAGCAGGAACGACAAAAAGGAGGCCCAGUGACCACUUUAGGAAUAAGAACGCAGCUUUUGGAUAUGAGCGCAAAUACCCGCAAAAGAUCCGAUGUAUGGAUUUAACACAAAAUGUGCCAAAAUCAGCUGCUUUAAAAAGAAAAAAAAUGGACUAAACCGUUCCUCGGAUUGACGUGCUUAUGUGAAGAGUUGAGAAAGCCAAAACAAUCUUGACAAAGAGGAGGUUGAAGACUCACCCUUCCGAUUUCCCCGCGUACCGCGUACUACCAGUUACAGUAACGGACACUUACCAAUAGUAUUUUCCAGCCUAUGAAUGUGGACUUUCUCUCAAUGUAUUUAGAUCUUUAAGAAAUGCCUUUGAAAAAAUAUCUUCUAUGUUUUUAAGUCAAUAGACCUAUUUUUCUUUAAGAGCAGUGUUAGGUUCCCAGAGCGAUUGUUGUAGAACGUACAGAGUCGCCAUGUGACACCCCACCCCCACCACACAGUUUCCCCUGUUUUUAACACCUUGCAUUUGUGUGAUACACGCGUUACAGGUGAUGAACCAAAAUCAAGAUGUUGUUAUUAACUAAAGUCUACAGUUUACAUUAGGAUUCACAAUUUGUGUUGUUCAUUCUGUGGGUUUGGACAAACACACAAACAUGUAGCAUCGUGUGUCCACCGGUACAAUACCGUACAGAGUGAUCUCACAACCCUAAAAUCUGCCUGUGCGUCCCCUGUUCAUUCACCCCUCAGCCCCUGGCAGCCACCGAUCCUUUCACUGUCUCUAUAGUUUUGCCUUUUCUAGAAUGGCAAGUAAGUAGUUGGAAUCCUAGAGUCUGCAGGGUUUUCAGAUUGGCU